AGCAGCCGCGGUAAUUCCAGCUCCAAUAGCGUAUAUUAAAGUUGUUGCAGUUAAAAAGCUCGUAGUUGAAUUUCGGGAUCAAGGAAUCGGUCAUGCCUCGGUAUGUACUGGUUUUAUUGGUUCUCACCUUCUAAAGAACCAUGAUGUCAUUCAUUUGAUGUUAUGGGGAAUUAGGACUGUUACCUUGAAAAAUUAGAGUGUUUAAAGCAGGCUUACGCUUGAAUACAUUAGCAUGGAAUAAUGAAAUAGGACAUCAGAUUCUAUUUUGUUGGUUUCUAGGAUCGAUGUAAUGAUUAAUAGGGAUAGUUGGGGGCAUUAGUAUUCAAUUGUCAGAGGUGAAAUUCUUGGAUUUAUUGAAGACUAACUACUGCGAAAGCAUUUGCCAAGGAUGUUUUCAUUAAUCAAGAACGAAAGUUAGGGGAUCGAAGACGAUCAGAUACCGUCGUAGUCUUAACCAUAAACUAUGC
rnacentral:misc_RNA from 1 species